rnacentral:rRNA from 1 species
AGCAGCCGCGGUAAUUCCAGCUCCAAUAGCGUAUAUUAAAGUUGUUGCAGUUAAAAAGCUCGUAGUUGAAUUUCGGGAUUGACGUAAUGGUCAUGCCUUAAGGGGUAUGAACUGUUACUGUUGAUUUCUCACCUUCUGGAGAAACUUGAUGUCCUUUAUUGGGUGUCUUGCGGAUCCAGGACCUUUACCUUGAAAAAAUUAGAGUGUUUAAAGCAGGCAUUUUUGCUCGAAUACAUUAGCAUGGAAUAAUAGAAUAGGACGGCAUGGUUCUAUUUUGUUGGUUUCUAGGAUCACCGUAAUGAUUAAUAGGGAUAGUUGGGGGCAUUAGUAUUCAAUUGUCAGAGGUGAAAUUCUUGGAUUUAUUGAAGACUAACUACUGCGAAAGCAUUUGCCAAGGAUGUUUUCAUUAAUCAAGAACGAAAGUUAGGGGAUCGAAGACGAUCAGAUACCGUCGUAGUCUUAACCAUAAACUAUGCCGACUAGGAAUCAGACGAUGUUAAUUUUUUAAUGACUCGUUUGGCACCUUACG